CGUAGGUGACAAGCGUUGUCCGGAAUUAUUGGGGCGUAAAAGGGAGCGCAGGCGGUUGGAUAGUCUGAUGUGAAAGCCCACGGCUUAACCGUGGAAGGUCAUUGGAAACUGUCCAACUUGAAUGCAGAAGAGGUAGUGGAAUUCCAAGUGUAGCGGUGAAAUGCGUAGAUAUUUGGAGGAACACCAGUGGCGAAGGCGACUUACUGGUCUGUGAUUGACGCUGAGGCUCGAAAGCGUGGGGUAGCAAACAGGAUU
rnacentral:rRNA from 1 species